rnacentral:rRNA from 1 species
AUGAACUUGUGCCUGUUGGCCUCUUGGGUGAGUAGAUACUAUAAGUCUGAGGGUAAAAUUUGGAAGAACAUUAUUGAUUCCAAGUAUGGCCUCCAGAAUAAUAACAUUUUUGCUUGCUCUGCUGCUGGGGCUUCACCUUUCUGGAAAGGAGUGCUCUGGGCAGCUCAAGCUGCUAAACCUGGUUUCUCCUGGAACAUAGGUAAUGGCAAGAGAGCUAGAUUCUGGGAGAAUCAUUGGUUUGGUAAUGCUACCUUGGCUACUCAAUAUUGGGAUUUGUAUAAUUUAGCUAAUGAGCGUAAUAUAACUGUUGAUAAAGCUUGGGAUGGUAGCAAUCUAAAAAUUACUUUUAGAAGAUGCUUUGACCAGGAGUUUAUGAAUCUUUGGUUUGAGCUCCUGGAGAUUGCUAAAUCUAUCAUGUACACUGAUGUGGGUGACUCCCUAGUUUGGAAUAUGAAUUCCAAAGGAGUUUAUACAGUUGAAUCCUUUUACAAAUUUGUUAACUUAAGGGGAGUGUGGCCAGUUAGUACCCCUGCUGUUUGGGCUGUUGAGAUCCCACCUAGGAUUCAAAUAUUUUUGUGGCUCCUAGCUAUUAAUAAGCUUCUCACUAGAGAUAACCUGGGCAAAAGACAGGAUAUACCUGAUACAACCUGCGUAUUCUGCUCAAAGUUGGAGUCUUGCCAUCACUUAUUUUUUGGGCGUGCCAUUGCUGUGGAAUUCUGA